rnacentral:lncRNA from 1 species
GGAGGAUCCAACAGUCUCGCUCAUUUGCAUACUUCUUCCGAGAGGUUGCAGGACUGGAUCCUGAGACUAUCCAGAUUGUGAAUAGUGUGGUUGAACAGUGCAUAAAAAUAUGUGCUCCCUGGAGUGUUCUACAGUAAAGUAAAUAGACCCAUUGACUAUGUCUGCAAUAAAAUAAGAAAAUAUUCGGGCACUGAUAUGACUCGGAAGCCUUUUGCUUGCCAUUUGCUUGAAGACAUUCCCAUUUCAUAAUGAAUAGUGAUUAAAGACACUCAAAAACAGACUCAACGCCAUGCGUUGAGGAAUGGACCACCCCAUACAAUGGAACAGCUUUGUCCAAGAGAGCCAGGUAUAAAUCAGAAGAUGGUGAAAGACAUACGGAGGGGAUUUUAUUCAUGUGAUAUUCCUUCAUAUAACAAUGUGUCCUCCCCCGCAAUGGAAAUAUUCACCGAUGAAUGAUCAGAAAAAUCUUAUCUUCCCAUUUGUGAAGUGUGGCAAGAGCCAUAGAAGCAUAGAUGAGAGAAAAGAGUCAUUACAAUGGUGCAACCAACACUACAAUGUAUUUUAUGGACAGGAAGAGAAUAACACCUUAGUCAACAAAAUCGUAAACAGGAAUAUAAGUAAUCACAAUAAAAUACUAUAUCACCAUAUGGGAGCAAGACACCAGCAAGUGGAUCCUUUCCUCGCAAAAUAUACCACAAGAUCUUUAACGACUGUAAAUGAAUACAUCUUGACUAUAACAACUCAUCCCAAAUGCAGCACUAUUAGCAGCUAGUGUCAGCUUCCACCAAGUGAAGAGGCUGGUUCAGAAGUUUCAGGGAGAGAAGUCAUGUAGGUUUGAAUCUGGAGUUGAGAAUCAGGAGGUCCAGCUUUCUUAUUUUGCCUUUGCCACUGACUGCCUCUUUCUCUAACCAGAUGCACUUGCUGCUUCAGCCUCCUCAGCAGUGAGGCAUUGACGGUGCCCUUGGCCUUCUUGUUCUCUUCCUGUGACAGACUGUAGGACUUUUUUUUUUUAAACUGGGUGCUUUGAGGACAGAGGGGGAUGUCCUUGUGGAUGUUUUAGGACAAACGGUGGCUGAAGAACUCAAGACUCAAAAGCUUGUAGAGGACCCUUCUCAUCCUCUGUUCCUAGGUAAUAAAACAGAAGCGUUG